rnacentral:rRNA from 1 species
UACGGGGGGGGGCAAGCGUUGUUCGGAAUUACUGGGCGUAAAGCGCACGUAGGCGGAUAUUUAAGUCAGGGGUGAAAUCCCAGAGCUCAACUCUGGAACUGCCUUUGAUACUGGGUAUCUGGAGUAUGGAAGAGGUGAGUGGAAUUCCGAGUGUAGAGGUGAAAUUCGUAGAUAUUCGGAGGAACACCAGUGGCGAAGGCGGCUCACUGGUCCAUUACUGACGCUGAGGUGCGAAAGCGUGGGGAGCAAGCAGG